GGAGCGCUCACCGUGCCGGGUCCUGCCGCCGGCCCUCGGCGCUGCCCCGAGAAGGCGGGUUUGCCCCUCGGCCGGAGCCGGCCCAAGAGCUGCGGGCUGCGUUUAAAGCAGGUUGUGCUGCAGUAACCUAAACCGGCGGUUCUCAGCCCGAACCCCGGCGUUCCGUCCCUGCCAGCUGUGGUUUUGUCGGUACAAAGGCCCCUCCCGGUUCCCUCGGCUGGGGUUCCUCGUUCGGGAGAUGGCCGCGUGGAGCCGUUUGAGCCUGCAGGACGAGCGUAGUCCCUGCCGCGUAGUACAAGCGCAGUCGACGCUAAGGACGGAUGAGGCCACCGGUAAAGCCUUCGCCUGACCGGUAGAACGAAGUUGCUCAACUUCUGAGAACUUGAAUGGUGCAAGUUCCUGUGGGUGGGAACUCCCUCUGCUACAGCUGGCACAGUCCUGAGCGGAUUACCAGCAUAUUUCUACAGUAUAAAGAAUUAUCAGUUAAGGUAAUCAGUUAAAAUAAAACCAUUUUCUAAUGA